UACGUAGGGUGCAAGCGUUGUCCGGAUUUAUUGGGCGUAAAGAGCUCGUAGGCGGUCUGUCGCGUCGGAUGUGAAAACCCAGGGCUCAACCCUGGGCCUGCAUUCGAUACGGGCAGACUAGAGUAUGGCAGGGGAGACUGGAAUUCCCGGUGUAGCGGUGAAAUGCGCAGAUAUCGGGAGGAACACCGGUGGCGAAGGCGGUUCUCUGGGCCUUACCUGACGCUGAGGAGCGAAAGCGUGGGGAGCGAACAGG
rnacentral:rRNA from 1 species